GCUUCUUGGUCGAGUGGUAAGGAUAAUUGCCUCUCACUCUGGAUUCAUGGGUUCGAUCCCCAGUCGAGGAGUA